UACGUAGGGGGCAAGCGUUGUCCGGAAUCAUUGGGCGUAAAGAGCGCGUAGGCGGUCCGGUAAGUCCGCUCUGAAAGUCCGGGGCUCAACCUCGGAUCGGCCGUGGCGACUCGUGGGCUGGAGCACUGUAGAGGCGGGUGGAAUUCCGGGUAUAGCGGUGGAAUGCGUAGAGAUCCGGAAGAACACCAGUGGCGAAGGCGGCCCGCUGGGCAGUGGCUGACGCUGAGGCGCGACAGCGUGGGGAGCAAACAGG
rnacentral:rRNA from 1 species